rnacentral:rRNA from 1 species
GAUGAACGCUGGCGGCGUGCCUAAUACAUGCAAGUCGAGCGAACAGAUGAGGAGCUUGCUCCUCUGACGUUAGCGGCGGACGGGUGAGUAACACGUGGAUAACCUACCUAUAAGACUGGGAUAACUUCGGGAAACCGGAGCUAAUACCGGAUAAUAUAUUGAACCGCAUGGUUCAAUAGUGAAAGACGGUUUUGCUGUCACUUAUAGAUGGAUCCGCGCCGCAUUAGCUAGUUGGUAAGGUAACGGCUUACCAAGGCAACGAUGCGUAGCCGACCUGAGAGGGGGAAUGGCCAAAAUGGAACUGGAAAACGGUCCAGACCCCUAAGGGAGGGAGGAGGUGGGAAUCUUUCGGAAUGGGGGAAAGGCCGGAGGAGCAACGGCGGGGGGGGGAUGAAGGGCUUCGGAUUGGAAAAAUCUUUUAAUAGGGAAAAACAAAUGUGUAAGGAACUAUGCAAGUCUUGAAGGUAACUAAUCAGAAAGGCACGGCUAACUAAGGG